CUCAGAUACCCCUCAAGCUCCUGAAGAAGGUGAAGAUGUUCAAGAAGAUGAUCGUAGUACUGUCUCCUUUUUCAGUGCAGAUUCUGCAAGUUUGGAUGGUUCUUUAGAAAAUCCCUGGGAUGCAGUUCCUGGAAUAACCUUGAGCACCUCCAGUGAUGCCUCUAGCACAUCCCAUGGCCUUCCCCAGGUGCAGCAAAUGCUUUUGGCCAGUCCUGCUGAAGAAGCAAGGCCAGAAUCCAACACUAGCACCCCACGUCUCCCGGAGCCUUGUGAUAAUACACCUCACUGUAGCUCUGAGCACGCUGCACCACCGAAGUUCCCGUCGCUGUUUCAUUCUCAGAACAGUGAAUUUCUCAUCGAAACGGCCAAACAGAAACCCAACUUGGUUAUGUCAACCGCAUCAGGCCAGGCCAGCGAACUUGCAGACAGCCUUCCUUGUGGCCAGCCAUUAAAUAAAUCCUACCUUCCUUUUUCUCCUGUUCGUCAUUCCAAAGAGGGCGACUUCUCCUUGGAGCCGGUGUCUGAAAAUAGGAAGGAUUGUCUAUCCCUUACCCAUGGAGCUAAAGGGAUGACAGCUAGGUGGAAAUACUUUGAAACUGAGAAAUAUGUGUCAGCUCAAAGGAAACAGGUGCCAAACGAAGGAGAACCUUCUGCGACUUCUACUCCAACUUGUAGUAGUAACAAUCUGGAAGCCGUAGGGCAUUGCUCUACUGAGACCGUUACAAAAACUCGUACUCCAAAUAAGAGACGUGUAAAUCAGCACCUUCCCUUGAAAUUUGAAAACACCCCCAAGAAAAGGCGGCUGGGGGAGAUUCAGGAUGAGCAAACCCAUGUAUUUGCCCGUCGCAGUUGUAGAGAGAGAUCUCUAGAAGAAAGAAGCGAGGAGGAACCAAUAGGAAGGGUCACCAGGAGGAAAUCAAAGCAAAUUGGAGUUCAACAAAAGAAUGGGAAAGGAAACGGUGUUCAUCUUAAACGCAACGCACCUACACCAGACCUCCGCUCUCAAGUGCAGUCUGUAAGAAGACAACACCUUGGUGACCCCAAUCCGAUGCAACAUGACAUGGACACGCUGUUCAAAGGAACUGGGCAGCUCACCAUCGCUCUUCUCAAAGGAUCGCUUCUGUAGGGCAAAGCAUUGAAAGUUAACACACCUUAUUAGGAACCUAUGACUAUAACUAAGUGUAUCUUACAAUUCUUGAUGAAUGUAUUUUUAUUUUUAUUUUUUUCUUAUGUACACUGAGAGCAUAUGCAUCAAAGACAAAUUCCUUGUAUCCAAUCACACUUGGCCAAUAAAUAAUUCUAU
rnacentral:lncRNA from 1 species